GACUGAUUCGCCAUGGCUGGGUGUGAGCGUUAUUCCGUAAGGGUCUUGCGCCGGUUUAAUUUUUAUUUAUUUUUCCGAGUCAGCUUUUGUGUCUACGAGGUUCCAGGUAUCCCGCAUCCAAAACAUAUUCCAAAGCGAACGGAGGUGUUUUUACUUCCAGAGUUGAGAUGCACUUGCCUUCAAAAGAGCUCCGGUCUGCUAAAGUGGUAGGGUUGCAGCAUGUGGUCAGCGAGGACACAUAAAUCAACUGACACUUCCACAUGAAGUUAGUUCCCUUGUAGGGAGCAUCCAUGUUGUACUCAGCAAUAAAACACAAGGUUCUGCCAAAGCUACUCACACAACCUUAGGGCAACCUAGGUGAUUUUUCACCACAGUUCCCAGUACAGUCUUAACUAGCAGAUUCUACUCGCUAAUGUUUUAGCAAGAGGCAAGCUGGAACCUGGAACCGUGAGAAGUGAUUUUAAAAUAGAGAUCUACCAUUUCCAGCAUUUGGGCUCAAGCACAACGGUAAAUCGGCUCGUAAUUGUUUAAAGAAUAAGUAAAAUCAGAACUCACUGGCACCAAAGGAGCGUCUUCUACAGGACACUUGGAAUCAUCUAACAAAGACAAAGGAUCUUUUUUCUCACAGCUCUCCUGGCUGAUGAGUGUGUCUGCGUAGUUAGGCUGCGGGAAGAUCAGAUGACUCUUCCGCGAAUCAGCAGUGAGGGAAACCUCGUGCGAAUAGGUCUGCAGGAAAGCGCGCACCCCGUCCACGCCCACAUAGUGAGAGGCAGGCACGCCAGCCAAUCCAUCUCUCGAAGACUGCAGCACGUGAGACUUGUGCCAGCGCCGGAGUUUGAGUGCCAACAACACAAUGACAAAGGCGAGAAAGACGCAAGAAACAGCUGCCACUGCCACUACUAGGUAGAGUGUGAGGUUUGAGGCCUCAGAGUCCUGUGGUGGCUCCAGGUUGCCCAAGUCUGCCAGGACAUCAGGGAUGCUGUCAGCUACUGCAACAGUCAAAGUGACCGUUGCGGAGAGAGGAGGCUGGCCAUGGUCCUGCACAGCCACCACUAGACUCUGCUUGAGAGCAUCUCUUUCCAUCAGGGCUCGGGCUGUGCGCACCUCACCCGUGUGCAGCCCUACAGUGAAGAGCCCUGGUUCGCUGGCCUUGAGUAGGCGAUAGGACAGCCAGGCGUUCUGUCCCGAGUCUCUGUCCACUGCCACCACCUUCGUCACCAGAUAGCCCAGCUCUGCUGAGCGGGGAGCAAGCUCUACCCCAGUGGAGCCGUCGGUGGGCAUGGUGGGGUACAAGAUUUCUGGAGAGUUGUCAUUUUGAUCCAGCACAAACAGAGUCAACGACACAUUACUGUGGAGGGGCGGCUUUCCGCUGUCGCUGGCAGUCACCUGUACCUGCAGUUCACGAAACUGCUCAUAGUCAAAGGACCAGAGCGCAUACAGGAUGCCAGUGUCUGAGUUGAUGGAUAUGUAGGAAGAAAGUGGCGCCCCCUCAAUGGUGUCUUCAGCCAGGGAGUAAACGAUCUGGGCGUUCUCUUUGCUGUCUGGAUCGAGGGCAGUCACUGAGAAGAUGGAGGCGCCUCUGGGAUUGUUCUCUGGGAUGUAGGUAAAGUAGGACGGAUGAGAGAAGGUAGGUGGGUUGUCGUUGAUAUCUGCCACUUGCAGAGUGAAGUCAGCUUUGGUUGACAAAGGUGGGUUUCCCCCAUCAGUGGCUGUUACUGUGAUGUUGUAAGCGGGUACCUGUUCCCGAUCAAGGGCUCUUUGUGUCACUAGCCUAUAGUAAUUGUCAAUGGACUUUUCUAACUUAAACGGAAGAUUCCCUGAGAUGGAACAGGCUACCUCUCCAUUCUGCCCGGAGUCUAAAUCAUGGACGUUUAGUAGGGCUAUGACAGUUCCCACCGGCGAAUCUUCUGUCACUGGACUGAAGAGAGAUGUGAUGGUCACCUCAGGACUGUUGUCAUUUACAUCUUCUACUGUAAUCAGCACCUUCGCAGUUGCAAGAUAGGCCCCUCCAUCUUCAGCUUGGAUUUCUAUUUCAUAGAAACUCAUUUCUUCAUAAUCUAGAUUUUCAGAAAUUUUUAUUUCUCCGGUAUGUUUGUCUAGUUGGAAUUUGGACAAUUGUGUGUCCAGCGAUUUUCGGAAUGCAUAUGUCACUUCUCCAUUGGCACCUUCGUCUUUGUCGGUGGCGGUUACCUUUAGCAGUUGGGUGCCCACAGGCAGGUUCUCCGGAAUGUUCACGCGGUAUUCAGUGGAGGUGAAGACUGGAGCAUUGUCAUUUGCAUCAAAGACGGUCACAGUGAUGAGGACAGUGCCCGAUCUGGGAGGGUUUCCUCCGUCAGAGGCCACGAGGACCAGGUGGUGAAUCGCCUCUUCCUCACGAUCUAGGGCCUGUUCCAGCACUAGCUCCGGGUACUUGACGCCCUUAGCACCGCUCUGAACGACUAGGGAGAAGUGUUUAUUGGAGCUGAGCUGGUAGCUCUGCAGAGAAUUCACUCCCACAUCCGGAUCAGUAGCUUCCGGGAGAGGAAAACGCAUUCCUGGGGCGACAUUUUCAUUAAUUUUUACAUCUAGAGUUUCUGCUUGGAAUUUUGGCGCAUUGUCAUUGACAUCCGUUACCUCUAUUUCUAUCCCGAAAAGUUUCACUCUAUCUUCAACAAGGAUGUUAAAGCUGACGAGACAGGGCGCGCUCUGGGCGCACAGCUCCUCCCGGUCUAUCCUGCCCGCGGUGACUAAGCUGCCGCCUCGCGGGUUCAGAGAGAAAAGCUGAGACCUACCUCUGGAGAUGAUGCGGACCCCGCGUUCCGCCAGCUGGCGGGGCUCCAGCCCCAGGUCCUUGGCGAUGUUGCCCACAAAAGAGCCUUUCUCUAGUUCCUCAGGAACUGAAUAGCGGAUCUGCCGAGCUGCGGAUUCCCAGGGCAUCCAUAAGAAAAGGAGGACCAGUUUGGUGCGCUCUGAGAGAUUCCUUUGAGCGGCCAUUGUCUUCUGACUACGGAAUUCUCUCAAAGCUUUUCCCGAUCCGCCAGGCGCCCAGUGUGUUUCACCCGGUUCUUUUCUUCUUUCUGUGACCCCUUGGGUCUCCCGCAGCGGAAGCACCUUAAAGUGCGGAGUAAUUUUCGUUGCAGCCCAGGAGCCGGUUUGCCGGAACUGUGAGGCUUUAAGCUUUUGGACCCUGAGAAUCCCAACUGUGCUCCGGUGGCUUUUUGCUCCUCGUAGGUGAACAGCGGCGCUCAGAGUCGGAAGAAGUUACUGCACCCACUAUAAUAUUUCAGCAAAUGCAUUUUUCUGUUGAAUUAUUUUAGUUUACUUUAAUUUCCUUUGGUGUCUCUGUUUUAUUUUGUUUUUGGAGAGGGCGUGAGAUUGAAAGCAGGGCUUCACAUUUACGUAGGCAAGAGCUCCAACAGUGAGCUGCAUCAGAGCCCUUCUCAAGGUUUCUUAUUGGAGAGUAUAAUAAGCUAAAUUGAUAAUAUUUGGAUUUUAUUUUCAACAGAAGCACACCAACUUAAAACAUAGUAAUGUUUAUUUUGUAUUGAAAAAUCUUACAACUUUGGUAUUCAUUCACAUGGAGACAGGUAUAUUUCUUUUGAUAAAAUUCACUUUGAAAGAUG
ensembl:processed_transcript Gm26672 predicted gene, 26672